UAUAUUUCUUGUUCUUUUUCUUUUUCUUUUUCAACAUUUGGUAGAUGAUCAAAAGCGCUGCAUACUUUUAAGCGCUCACGUUUUAAGCUGAGGCAUGUUCAUAUAUAUUGUGUGUGUAUCAUCGGGUGUCUUGAUGCCUUCAGUGACAGCUUGUCGUGCAUAUUUCUCCAUUUGUAUGUAGUAGAAUUCUCUGCAGAUGCGUAGAUGAGGAAUAUGUUUGGAUUUGUAUUUUGGACAGCAUUCAAAUUUACGAAAUCAAGGUAAAACAUACAUAAAUCAUAAAAGAGAUAAUUAUAAUAAACAAAAACUAAAUAAUAAAACAC